rnacentral:misc_RNA from 1 species
GAUGAAGAACGUAGCGAAAUGCGAUAACUAAUGUGAAUUGCAGAAUUCAGUGAAUCAUCGAGUCUUUGAACGCACAUUGCGCCCCCUGGUAUUCCGGGGGGCAUGCCUGUCCGAGCGUCAUUGCUGCCCUCAAGCACGGCUUGUGUGUUGCGCUCCGUCCCCCCGGGGACGGGCCCGAAAGGCAGCGGCGGCACCGAGUCCGGUCCUCGAGCGUAUGGGGCUUUGUCACCCGCUCUGUAGGCCCGGCCGGCGCCAGCCGACAACCCAUCAUCCUUUUCAGGUUGACCUCGGAUCAGGUAGGGAUACCCGCUGAACUUAAGCAUAUCAAUAAGCGGAGGA